GCUGGGCGUGGUGGCGCACGCCUGUAGUCCCAGCUACUUGGGAAGCUGAGGCAGGAGAAUCACUUGAAUCAGGGAGGCGGAGCUUGCAGUGAGCCAAGAUCAUGCCACUGCACUCCAGUCCUGGUGACAGAGUGAGACUCUGUCUCAA
ensembl:misc_RNA Metazoa_SRP Metazoan signal recognition particle RNA